UACGUAGGCAGCGAGCGUUGUUCGGAAUUACUGGGCGUAAAGAGUGUGUAGGCGGCGCUCUAAGUUCGGUGUGAAAUCUCUCGGCUUAACUGGGAGGGUGCGCCGGAAACUGGAGUGCUCGAACGUGGGAGAGGAAAGCGGAAUUCCUGGUGUAGCGGUGAAAUGCGUAGAGAUCCGGAGGAAGACCGGUGGCGAAGGCGGCCUGCUGGGCAGAUACUGACACUGAGGCGCGACAGCGUGGGGAGCAAACAGG
rnacentral:rRNA from 1 species